UGGAUCGUUCAUACCAGACUGAAACUGCCCGUUCUCGUCCGCUCCCGGAAACAAAGCUGUCUUGACCGUCACCAGUAGUGGGUUCCACAGGGUGACCACCUGCGAACCCGACGUGACGAUCUGU
rnacentral:rRNA from 1 species